rnacentral:rRNA from 1 species
GAUGAACGCUGGCGGCGUGCCUAAUACAUGCAAGUCGAACGAAACUUCUUUAUCACCGAGUGCUUGCACUCACCGAUAAAGAGUUGAGUGGCGAACGGGUGAGUAACACGUGGGCAACCUGCCCAAAAGAGGGGGAUAACACUUGGAAACAGGUGCUAAUACCGCAUAACCAUAGUUACCGCAUGGUAACUAUGUAAAAGGUGGCUAUACUACCGCUUUUGGAUGGGCCCGCGGCGCAUUAGCUAGUUGGUAGGGUAAAGGCUUACCAAGGCAAUGAUGCGUAGCCGAAUUGAUAGGGUGAUCGGCCACAUUGGGACUGAGACACGGCCCAAACUCCUACGGGAGGCAGCAGUAGGGAAUCUUCCACAAUGGGCGAAAGCCUGAUGGAGCAACGCCGCGUGGGUGAAGAAGGUCUUCGGAUCGUAAAACCCUGUUGUUAGAGAAGAAAGUGCGUGAGAGUAACUGUUCACGUUUCGACGGUAUCUAACCAGAAAGCCACGGCUAACUACGUG